UACGUAGGCAGCGAGCGUUGUUCGGAGUUACUGGGCGUAAAGAGUGCGUAGGCGGUUUUCUAAGUUUGGUGUGAAAUCUCCCGGCUUAACUGGGAGGGUGCGCCGAAGACUGGAAGGCUUGAGUAUGGGAGAGGUAAGCGGAAUUCCUGGUGUAGCGGUGAAAUGCGUAGAUAUCAGGAGGAACACCUGCGGUGUAAACGGCUUACUGGACCAUCACUGACGCUGAGGCACGAAAGCGUGGGUAGCAAACAGG
rnacentral:rRNA from 1 species